CGGGCGGGCGUUGAGAAAGUGGCCGUGUUGGUUCGCUGUGCACCAUCCGGAUCCUAGUCCUUAGAGACCAGCAAGGUUUUCUGAGCAAAAGUGCUGAGAAUUUAAGACUCAGACAUGAAUAUUCAAUCUGCUUGAGUCAAUAACUUUCGAUCAGAGAGAACCAUGGAUUAGCCUGAGUAUCAGACAAAAAUUCUACACCAAUGGGAUUCUGUGGGCAGGUCUCCUUGUCAUCCGCCCCUCUCCCAGGCCCACUUCUGAUGAGGUUGCUGUGAUGCAUCACAAGGCAUUGCCAAUUAUAGGGCGAGUAAACCCAACGUUUUGGACUUUGGCACGGAGGUGGAUGCUCGUUGAAACCCAGUUCUGCUUUGAGAUGGACCCUGGAGGGGAAAUGAGAGGAUGGCUUCUUCAACGCACUUUUUUCAUCCAUCCAGACUUGACUUGGGGAAACGGCAUAACUAUUAGCUACAUUUUCAGAAUCUGAAUCGUACUCAGUUUUGAUCAGCAUGUUCUGCGAGUUGUACGGCACUUCUGGAGACAUCAGUGGGCACGGCAGUUUCGUAUAUUCCAUGGAAUGGCUGUUGGUGGCGUAUUGCUGCAAAUGUGGAUGUUGCUGGCAAUUUUCCAUGCCGCUCCAGUGCGAAGAACAGGCAGCGGAUGAGCCGAAGGGCCGCUGGUCUCUGUGAUAAAACGGUUUCGGGGUUUUGUUUGGGCCCAUAUUCUCAUUGUGCUGAGCUCGAGUGCAGGAACUGGACAGAUUCCUCGAAGCCCAUGUGCCAUUAGUGCUGUUGCUGUGCUGAAAACCGAAGAGCGACCCAUUAGAACUGAAAAAUUCUUGUGCACCGAAACAUUCAUCGUCGUCAUCGUCUGUGUGGUCCUCAAACUUGACUUUUAUGCAGUUCUGCUCUUUUUCCAUUGUGGUCCAUUUACAGUGCUUCGUCAGAUCUCCUGUAUCCCUGUUCCCUUUCAGGCUCGUUGUGUUGUUUGGUAUCUUCUGAUGAUCUUCUCUUUCCCUUACAACGAAAGUAUUAACAUGAAUCAGCCAAGAAUAAAAUAUUUUCUAA